rnacentral:sRNA from 2 species
CGCCGAUGCUGAACGUGCAGGAUGAGAACCUGCUGCAGGUUCGACUGAAUCGCCGGGAGCGAUUCAGGCUGAUGCGCCAGCAUCACCCGCAGGGCGAGGCCCCCGGAUGGGCCGAGGCAUAUCCUGCACGACCCACCA